CCUACGGGCGGCAGCAGUGGGGAAUAUUGCACAAUGGGGGAAACCCUGAUGCAGCGACGCCGCGUGAGUGAAGAAGUAAUUCGUUAUGGAAAGCUCCAUCAGCAGGGAAGAAAAUGACGGUACCUGAGUAAGAAGCUCCGGCUAACUACGUGCCAGCAGCCGCGGUAAUACGUCGGGGGCAAGCGUUAUCCGGAUUUACUGGGUGUAAAGGGAGCGUAGGAGGUAGUGCAAGUCCGGAGUGAAAGGGGGGGGCUCAACCCCCGGACUGCUGUUGAAACUGUGCGGUUGGAGUGCAGGAGAGGUAAGUGGAAUUCCUGGUGUAGCGGUGAAAUGCGUAGAUAUUAGGAGGAACACCAGUGGCGAAGGCGGCUUACUGGACUGUAACUGACGUUGAGGCUCGAAAGCGUGGGGAGCAAACAGGAUUAGAUACCCGAGUAGUC
rnacentral:rRNA from 1 species